rnacentral:rRNA from 1 species
UACGGAGGGGGCAAGCGUUGUUCGGAAUUAUUGGGCGUAAAGGGCGCGUAGGCGGCCAUGCAAGUCGGUUGUGAAAUCCCUUGGCUCAACCAAGGAACUGCGUCCGAAACUGCAUGGCUCGAGUCCGGGAGAGGGUAGUGGAAUUCCCAGUGUAGCGGUGAAAUGCGUAGAUAUUGGGAGGAACACCGGUGGCGAAGGCGGCUACCUGGACCGGAACUGACGCUGAGGCGCGAAAGCUAGGGGAGCAAACAGGAUUAGAUACCCUGGUAGUCCUAGCUGUAAACGAUGAGCACUUGGUGUAGCGGGUAUUGACCCCUGCUGUGCCGAAGCUAACGCAUUAAGUGCUCCGCCUGGGGAGUACGGUCGCAAGGCUGAA